rnacentral:rRNA from 1 species
CAAACGUGAUGGUUUAGAGGAAGUAAAAGUCGUAACAAGGUUUCCGUAGGGUAAGCACCCCCUAGACAGCCCCCAAAGUGUGUGGAGCAACCGCUAACGUGCAACAGUGAACCUGCGGAAGGAUCAUUACCGAGUGAGGGCGCUCCGGCGCCCGCUGACCUCACCAUCCAUUGCCAUCGUAACACGUACGAGCGGGCUCGCGACGGCCGUGAGGCCAGAGCGACCCGCCACAGACCAGUCGCCGUGGGCUCGCGAGAGCGACCCACCCCCCGACGCAGUGAGCCCAUCGCCGGGCGUUUCGGCGGUGGGAGUGAGCUGUGUCGGGGCGAAGCGUCCGGAAACGCCCCGGCGUGACUGCGUGCACGCCCCCCUGGUGCGAUGGCGCCUGUGGGGGUUCCUACCAAUCCAGUCGUCAGCAACGUCUGAGUCCUCAAGGGCUAAAUUUUGAAAACAACUUUCAACAGUGGAUCUCUUGGCAUUGGCAUCGAUGAAGAACGCAGCAAACCGCGAUAUGUGGUGUCAUUUGCAACGCUUGUCAUCGAAUCUUUGAACGCACAUUGCGCCCUCCGGUACUCCGUUGGGCACGCCCGUCUCAGCGUCAUUACACCCCUCAAGCUCCCGCUUGGUCUUGGGCGUGGUCCUCCCCGGACCCGCCUCGAAUCCGCGGGCGGGUCGCAUCAACCCCCCGGCGUUGCAGAGCCUCUCGAGCCUCGCCGCGGCGGUAGUUGCGUCCCAGCCCCACAACCGCCCCUCGCGGGCAGCGCCUCGCGGCGUACCAAGUUUGACCUGAGAUCGGGCGGGUAUACGCGCCGAACUUAAGCAUAUUACUCAGCGCAGGAAAAGAAAGCAACAGCGAUUGGGUCAGUAGCGGCGAGCGAAGCCCCAAGAGUCCGGUUUUGAAAGCUCCUUCGGGCGCGUUGUA